AGACCCGAAACCCGGUGAUCUAGCCAUGGGCAGGUUGAAGGUUGGGUAACACUAACUGGAGGACCGAACCGACUAAUGUUGAAAAAUUAGCGGAUGACCUGUGGCUGGGGGUGAAAGGCCAAUCAAACCGGGAGAUAGCUGGUUCUCCCCGAAAGCUAUUUAGGUAGCGCCUCGUGAAUUCAUCUCCGGGGGUAGAGCACUGUUUCGGCUAGGGGGCCAUCCCGGCUUACCAACCCGAUGCAAACUGCGAAUACCGGAGAAUGUUAUCACGGGAGACACACGGCGGGUGCUAACGUCCGUCGUGAAGAGGGAAACAACCCAGACCGCCAGCUAAGGUCCCAAAGUCAUGGUUAAGUGGGAAACGAUGUGGGAAGGCCCAGACAGCCAGGAUGUUGGCUUAGAAGCAGCCAUCAUUUAAAGAAAGCGUAAUAGCUCACUGGUCGAGUCGGCCUGCGCGGAAGAUGUAACGGGGCUAAACCAUGCACCGAAGCUGCGGCAGCGAACGUAUCACUUAAAGCGAUUCAGCGGGUUACGAUUGACGGAGCGAAGCGACGUCAAAGCGUAUACAAAGUCGAGUCGGUUUAAGGAUACGUUCGUUGGGUAGGGGAGCGUUCUGUAAGCCUGUGAAGGUGGCCUGUGAGGGUUGCUGGAGGUAUCAGAAGUGCGAAUGCUGACAUAAGUAACGAUAAAGCGGGUGAAAAGCCCGCUCGCCGGAAGACCAAGGGUUCCUGUCCAACGUUAAUCGGGGCAGGGUGAGUCGACCCCUAAGGCGAGGCCGAAAGGCGUAGUCGAUGGGAAACAGGUUAAUAUUCCUGUACUUGGUGUUACUGCGAAGGGGGGACGGAGAAGGCUAUGUUGGCCGGGCGACGGUUGUCCCGGUUUAAGCGUGUAGGCUGGUUUUCCAGGCAAAUCCGGAAAA
rnacentral:rRNA from 1 species